ensembl:lincRNA 2900076A07Rik RIKEN cDNA 2900076A07 gene
GGAGAAAUUAUGACACCUGAUGCUAGCGGCUUUUGUCUCGCCAAGUUGACCCAGUAUUUGGCCACCUUGUGCGGCGGGUGACUAUGGUGUCCCGGUAUAUAUAUGUAUUACCUGAAAGCCCAGGGCAGUUGUUGCCUUGGGUCAUGCAGAGAAUAUGCAGCCACACCCAUGCCUUAGAUGUGUGUAAUUCAAGUGGAGAAGACACAAGCCAGUGGUCGCAAUAUCAACACUUGAGUGUUCUGUAAACGGAUUGGUGUCAGCAGAAAACCAACAGUGAUGUGGUGGCACACAGUGAACUGACAGGACCCAGGCAGCAGCGGUUCUUUUGGUGGCAAUGGUGCCAUGUCAUGGGUACUCUCCUUGCUGAUGGCAGAUACCGACAGGCAAACUGUUGCCUUGCGUUUAGCUCUGUUAACCAUUGACAGUAAGAUUUAUCAGAGGUUGCAGCUGCACAUGGCCAUGAGGUAAACCUUGCCCCUGUUUGAAAUUGAGUUUCAUCAGCUUCUACAUGGGAUUAUAAGGACUUGGAAUAUAUCACAAACCCAGCAGGGUUUCCCCCCUCAUUUUUUUUUUUAAGAUUUAUUUUUCUUCCUAAAGAUAACAUGCUUAAACAAAGUUCUUUAUGGUUAGUAACUGUGAUGCUUGAAGUUGGUUAUCCCUUACUCCAGUAAAUUUUAAAUGUCAAAGAUAUCUUGUUAAAUAAAAAAAAAAAC